CCUACGGGGGGCAGCAGUGGGGAAUAUUGGACAAUGGGCGCAAGCCUGAUCCAGCAAUGCCGCGUGGGUGAUGAAGGCCUUCGGGUUGUAAAGCCCUUUUGGCGGGGACGAUGAUGACGGUACCCGCCGAAUAAGCUCCGGCUAACUUCGUGCCAGCAGCCGCGGUAAUACGAAGGGAGCUAGCGUUGUUCGGAAUUACUGGGCGUAAAGGGCGCGUAGGCGGUUUCGAUAGUCAGGCGUGAAAUCCCCAGGCUCAACCUGGGAAUUGCGCUUGA
rnacentral:rRNA from 1 species